GUAGGACCAUGCAAGGUCAGUCGACGACGGAGAAUAAGGAAUCCCCAUUGCACACUGCUCCAAUUUCCACGAGAAAGCCGACAAAAGGGCACUGAAAACGACAACAAUCUGCUAAGAAAUAAAGAAGUAAAUGGCUUAUUCCAGCUGCUCAAACGUCUGAAUGCAGACAGGUCUUUGCUAGUGACGCUUACACGUACCUACCUGCAAAGAGACUGGAUGCAACAUCCGCCAAAGAAGAUUCGCGUUUGACAGCGCCUGGACUCUUAACUAGAUUUUCUCGUUUGCCGAAGUUUAUCUCCUUAAGCUAUUGAAGCUUCUUGUUAUUUGAAGGGUUUUUAUAUGGAAUAUGAUAUUCGUUGGUGGUUGUAAUAUUCUGCCUGAAAAUGUGACUCAAACCGAAAAGCCAAUUUAUACAUUUUUGAGCGGAUAAAUAGGUGUUAAUGGAAAUGGACUUAAUUCAUAAUAAUUGUCAAUCCCGUAAGUUACUGCGUUUAUACUCUACGAGUGUGACAUUCCCUAAGUCGUACGUAUGCGGUACUCUAUCUGCCCAUAGUGUUUUAGUAUUAUUCCCAGAACCUGAAACUUCACUUUUGGAGAUAUUAUUCAACGGAAAUAAUGCCUAUACAAACAUAACCUUGCUUGAGUGAUCAUAAAAAGACAGAAAAAUUGUUAUUGCAAAAAUAGCAUGGGAUGUUCUAAUAGAGUAGUGCAUAUUGUACGAUCCGUUUUCUGUCUGACGGUAAAAUAGUGUGGGGAAAAUCUGCAUUUAGAAACUUCACUGUCUUUAAAAUCAA